rnacentral:rRNA from 1 species
GACGAACGCUGGCGGCGUGCUUAACACAUGCAAGUCGAACGAUGAACCACUUCGGUGGGGAUUAGUGGCGAACGGGUGAGUAACACGUGGGCAAUCUGCCCUUCACUCUGGGACAAGCCCUGGAAACGGGGUCUAAUACCGGAUAACACUCCUGCUCUCAUGGGCAGGGGUUAAAAGCUCCGGCGGUGAAGGAUGAGCCCGCGGCCUAUCAGCUUGUUGGUGAGGUAAUGGCUCACCAAGGCGACGACGGGUAGCCGGCCUGAGAGGGCGACCGGCCACACUGGGACUGAGACACGGCCCAGACUCCUACGGGAGGCAGCAGUGGGGAAUAUUGCACAAUGGGCGAAAGCCUGAUGCAGCGACGCCGCGUGAGGGAUGACGGCCUUCGGGUUGUAAACCUCUUUCAGCAGGGAAGAAGCGAAAGUGACGGUACCUGCAGAAGAAGCGCCGGCUAACUACGUGCCAGCAGCCGCGGUAAUACGUAGGGCGCAAGCGUUGUCCGGAAUUAUUGGGCGUAAAGAGCUCGUAGGCGGCUUGUCACGUCGGGUGGUGAAAGCCCGGGGCUUAACCCCGGGUCUGCAUUCGAUACGGGCUAGCUAGAGUGUGGU